GACGAACGCUGGCGGCGUGCUUAACACAUGCAAGUCGAACGAUGAAGCUGGAGCUUGCUCUGGUGAAUUAGUGGCGAACGGGUGAGUAACACGUGAGUAACCUGCCCCGAACUCUGGGAUAACUGCUGGAAACGGUAGCUAAUACUGGAUACGACCUACGAAGGCAUCUUCUGUAGGUGGAAAGAAUUUCGGUUCGGGAUGGACUCGCGGCCUAUCAGCUUGUUGGUGAGGUAAUGGCUCACCAAGGCGACGACGGGUAGCCGGCCUGAGAGGGUGACCGGCCACACUGGGACUGAGACACGGCCCAGACUCCUACGGGAGGCAGCAGUGGGGAAUAUUGCACAAUGGGCGCAAGCCUGAUGCAGUAACGCCGCGUGAGGGAUGACGGCCUUCGGGUUGUAAACCUCUUUUAGUAGGGAAGAAGCGAAAGUGACGGUACCUGCAGAAAAAGCACCGGCUAACUACGUGCCAGCCGCCGCGGUAA
rnacentral:rRNA from 1 species